rnacentral:rRNA from 1 species
UACGUAGGGUGCGAGCGUUAAUCGGAAUUACUGGGCGUAAAGCGUGCGCAGGCGGUUUUGUAAGCCAGAUGUGAAAUCCCCGGGCUUAACCUGGGAACUGCAUUUGGGAUUGCAAGGCUUGAGUACGGCAGAGGGGGGUAGAAUUCCUGGUGUAGCAGUGAAAUGCGUAGAUAUCAGGAGGAAUACCGAUGGCGAAGGCAGCCCCCUGGGUCGAUACUGACGCUCAUGCACGAAAGCGUGGGGAGCAAACAGG